rnacentral:snoRNA from 1 species
AAGACUAUACUUCACAGGAUCAUUUCUGUAGUCAGUCUUCAUUUACUUUCAUUGCAAAAUGAAAGAAGCAUAACCUGCGAUGAGGAGUCAUAUCGUUUUAUCUGGCAGCGUGAGGUUUAUGAACAUCAUUUCUGAUUUUGUCUUAUGGCAUAUUUGAGUUGAUGUUUCUUCGAUGAUCGCUCGGUUCAAACGGAUAAAACGACUUCUGAGUGGU